rnacentral:rRNA from 1 species
AUACGGAGGAUGCAAGCGUUAUCCGGAUUUAUUGGGUUUAAAGGGUGCGUAGGCGGUUUGCUAAGCGGGAGGUGAAAUGCCGGCGCUCAACGUCGGAAGUGCCUCCCGAACUGGUGGACUUGAAUGACUCUGCCGUGGGAGGAAUGUGUAGUGUAGCGGUGAAAUGCUUAGAGAUUACACAGAACACCGAUUGCGAAGGCAUCUCACGAAGGGUUGAUUGACGCUGAGGCACGAAAGCGUGGGGAGCAAACAGGAUUAGAUACCCUGGUAGUCCACGCAGUAAACGAUGAUGGCUAACCGCUGGGCUUAUCAGUUCAGUGGCCAAGCGAAAGCGAUAAGCCAUCCACCUGGGGAGUACGACCGCAAGGUUGAAACUCAAAGGAAUUGACGGGG